CUUAUACCCAAUAGACAGAAUCUUGCCAGACAAAACACUUACUACUGUACUGUCACCUUAUGGAUAUACCCAGAGUUACCUGAGAAGACUAUUUUAUGAGCCAUAGAUAGAAGUAUAUCAAGAUGAGGAGGCAAACCAAAAAAUAUUUGAAGAGUAGAAGUCUAAACUUGAACAAAGAGAACCAUGCACAAACUGGAAGCUGUCUAUAUUAUUUCUUGUUCAAUUUGCAGAAAGACAAUUUGCUUUGGAGAGGAGAGUUUUGGAGAAAUAACAG